UACAGAGGGGGCAAGCGUUGUUCGGAAUUACUGGGCGUAAAGGGCGCGUAGGCGGCCUGCUAAGUCGAACGUGAAAUCCCCGGGCUCAACCCGGGAACUGCGUCCGAGACUGGCAGGCUCGAAUCCGGGAGAGGGAUGCAGAAUUCCAGGUGUAGCGGUGAAAUGCGUAGAUAUCUGGAGGAAUACCGGUGGCGAAGGCGGCAUCCUGGACCGGCAUUGACGCUGAGGAGCGAAAGCCAGGGGAGCAAACGGG
rnacentral:rRNA from 1 species